UGGGGAAUAUUGGACAAUGGGCGAAAGCCUGAUCCAGCCAUGCCGCGUGAGUGAAGAAGGCCCUAGGGUUGUAAAGCUCUUUCAGCGGGGACGAUAAUGACGGUACCCGCAGAAGCAGUCCCGGCUAACUUCGUGCCAGCAGCCGCGGUAAUACGAAGGGGACUAGCGUUGUUCGGAAUUACUGGGCGUAAAGCGCGCGUAGGCGGACGCUUAAGUCAGGGGUGAAAUGCCAGGGCUCAACCUUGGAAUUGCCUUUGAUACUGAGUGUCGGGAGUUGGGGAGAGGUGAGUGGAAUUCCGUGUGGAGAGGUGAAAUGCGUAGAUAUUGGGGGGAACACCAGAAGCGAAGGCGGCUCACUGGCCCGAUACUGACGCUGAGGCGCGAAAGCGUGGGGAGCAAACAGG
rnacentral:rRNA from 1 species